rnacentral:rRNA from 1 species
AGUGAACGCUGGCGGUAGACCUAACACAUGCAAGUCGAACGGCAGCACAGUAAGAGCUUGCUCUUACGGGUGGCGAGUGGCGGACGGGUGAGGAAUACAUCGGAAUCUACUUUUUCGUGGGGGAUAACGUAGGGAAACUUACGCUAAUACCGCAUACGACCUACGGGUGAAAGCAGGGGAUCUUCGGACCUUGCGCGAUUGAAUGAGCCGAUGUCGGAUUAGCUAGUUGGCGGGGUAAAGGCCCACCAAGGCGACGAUCCGAAGCUGGUCUGAGAGGAUGAUCAGCCACACUGGAACUGAGACACGGUCCAGACUCCUACGGGAGGCAGCAGUGGGGAAUAUUGGACAAUGGGCGCAAGCCUGAUCCAGCCAUACCGCGUGGGUGAAGAAGGCCUUCGGGUUGUAAAGCCCUUUUGUUGGGAAAGAAAAGCAGCAGGUUAAUACCCCGCUGUUCUGACGGUACCCAAAGAAUAAGCACCGGCUAACUUCGUG